CCGAGGAUAGCGCCGGCUUAGGUUCCUAAGUGGACCCGGUACCGAGGAGAGCGCCGGCUUAGGUUCCUAAGUGGACCCGGUACCGAGGAUAGCGCCGGCUUAGGUUCUUAAGUGGACCCGGUACCGAGGCGAGCGCCGGCUUAGGUUCCUAAGUGGACCCGGUACCGAGGAUAGCGCCGGCUUAGGUUCCUGAGUGGACCCGGUACCGAGUAGAGCGCCGGCUUAGGUUCCUAAGUGGACCCGGUACCGAGGAUAGCGCCGGCUUAGGUUCCUAAGUGGACCCGGUACCGAGUAGAGCGCCGGCUUAGGUUCCUAAGUGGACCCGGUACCGAGUAGAGCGCCGGCUUAGGUUCCUAAGUGGACCCGGUACCGAGGAUAGCGCCGGCUUAGGUUCCUAAGUGGACCCGGUACCGAGGAGAGCGCCGGCUUAGGUUCCUAAGUGGACCCGGUACCGAGGAGAGCGCCGGCUUAGGUU